GUUACUUGACCGGAAGAACUCAAUCAGUCAGAAUUGGAUCAACUGUGUCUACUCCUCUCCCUGUUUCUUAUGGCGUACCACAGGGUGCAAUUUUAUCACCUUUACUUUUUAGUAUUUAUACUAACGAUCUGCCCUCAUCAGUGCACCAUAGUAAACUUGAAUCGUACGUGGACGACUCUAAGAUAUUACUAUCUUUCACUGUGGCUAACGUGGACUGUUUAAAGCAACAACUUGAGGAAGACUUGUAUUUGAUUGCAAACAGUUGUUCCGAAAAUGAAUUGCUUAUUAACCCGGGAAAGACCAAAUAUAUGCUGAUUGGCACACGGCAAAACCUACAACAACUUCCCGUAGAUAUGACCAUAAACUUCCUCAACGAGACUAUUACCCCCGUCUCCUUUGCCAAAGAUCUAGGAAUGACAAUCGACUCUUAUUUGACGUAUGACCAGCACAUCACCAACCUGGUUUCCUCAUGUAUGAAUUCCCUGUGCCAAAUAAACCGAGUCAAAAAAUGUUUCGAUAAAGAAGCUUUAACUCUCAUCGUCUCGGCACUUGUAAUGAACAAAAUGUUCUAUUGUUCAACGGUUUGGUCAAACACUUCGUCUACCAACAUUAAGGAACUACAGUUGGUACAAAAUUUUGCAUGCAGGAUAAUAACAAAUAUUGGAAAGUUCGACCAUAUUUCGCCGGGCUUACGCGAACUUAACUGGCUCCCAGUAAAGGAACAAUUACUACUAAGAGAGGCUAUUAUGAUGUACAAAUGUGUCAAUGAACUUUCUCCACAUUAUUUGAGCGAUUUAUUCACAAAACGUUCUGACAUUCAUCAACGAGAUACACGUAGCCAUGACUCACUGCAAAUACCAUUGUACAAAUCUUCUGCAGGUCAAAGGUCCUUUCAUUAUAGAGGCGUUACACUCUGGAAUGAUUUGGACAUAAAGUACAAAAAGUUAGACUCCCUAAAAACUUUCAAAUACGAACUGAAGCGAAGCAUGCUAGAACAAAUAUAUAAGUAGAUAAUUUUACCUUGUUAAACUUUAUACAAAUGUCUUACCUUUUUACCUUAAUUUAAAUUCUAGAUUCUAAAACUUGUAAAUAGAACAACAUUUAUUUUUUGUAAAUCAGUGUUGAAAAUCCCUAUUUAGGGAACACAAUAAAGUAUGUAAUGUAAUGUAAUAGCAGUAUGGCGAAAGCGUCGUUUUUGGGUGUGGUCAGUUUCGGACGUUUCGCCCCGGAUUGGGGUUCGGGCAGCG